UCUUGGAAUUAGUGAUGUUCUUUCAUUUGGGUUCUUGUUCUUCUUUUGUUUCUUGUCUUUAGUUGUUGCUGGAAAUACAGGUUAGUUCUUGAAAGAAAGAGAAAGAGAAAGAUCGAAAUGGCUGUGUCCUUGGCUUUUGCUAAUCUUCGAUUUCACUUUAGUAAUGUUAAAGUGGUUGAAAAUCCCUUGUGUUUUGGCUUGGCUCCUACACAGCUUCCUUUUUUAUGCAAGGAACGAAGAAGGUAUGCUUACUUUCAGACAUUGUUCCCUCUUUUUAGGUGUUUGUGUAGUAAUGUUUGGCUGUGAAUACGACUGCUUCAGCUUUAACAUUCAAGUCUGAAUCUUUAUUGAAUAAAGAUCUUAGGAUGAUUUCUAUGGUUCUGUUGGAUUUGAUUAAGAACUUGAGUGAGUGUUGAAAACAACAAUAACCCAUUUAAAUGUGACCGAUUUACUCUUUUUUUGUUGGAUAAUUCUCUCUCCAUGUCAAGUUAAUUAACUUUUCUAGUGGUUUAAGGACUGGCCAGAGGAUGCACCAUCCAUACCUCAUCUAAAUGCCAACUCCUGAAUCCCCUGCUACUAAUAACAAUGGUAGCUAGAUUUGCCCUUUUCAUGUUUUUAUCAAAGCUUCCACGCUUGAAAUUACUACUAAAUACUUAAUUUCAGUUGUCUCAACCCCCCUAAUGGCUCAUUAAUAUGAGGAAUAGCUGCAUAAGGACUCGUCUGCUACAAGAUAGCUGCUAAACAUUGUUGCGGAUCUGAAAGCCUCUCUCUAAUCAGUGAAAUAGAGAAGCAUUUUUUGGAAUACAGUUUAGC
rnacentral:lncRNA from 1 species